rnacentral:rRNA from 1 species
UACAGAGGUCCCGAGCGUUUGUUCGGAUUCACUGGGCGUAAAGGGUGCGUAGGUGGUGAGGUAAGUCGGAUGUGAAAUCUCCAGGCUCAACCUGGAAACUGCAUUGGAAACUACCUUGCUGGAGGAUUUGAGGGGGGAUUGGAAUACUUGGUGUAGCAGUGAAAUGCGUAGAUAUCAAGUGGAACACCAGUGGCGAAGGCGAAUCCCUGGAAAAUACCUGACACUGAGGCACGAAAGCUAGGGGAGCAAACAGG